AUGGCGCCGCCGUCGUCGUUGAGGAAACUCCAAGAGCUGAUGAAGGGCAAAUUGAGCCCCGGGGAAAAUUCAAUUAGGGAUAAGGAUGAAGAGAAUCCGGAGGUUGCGCUUGUUUCAAAGAAGGUGAACAAGAAGUGGAAGAAGCUGCCGGGUACCAAGAAGGGGGAAGGGCGCGACGUGGAUAGGCUGGUCCGGGAGGAGGAUCCCGAGGUUGUGCUUGUUUCAAAGAAGCUGAACAAGAAGCGGAAGAAGCUGCCGGGUACCAAAAGGGGGAAAGGUGCGACGUGGAUAGGCUGGUCCGGGAAGAGGAUCCGGAGGUUGUGCUUGUUUCAAAGAAGCUGA
rnacentral:rRNA from 1 species